rnacentral:lncRNA from 1 species
UUGAAAUUGGAUGAUAUUUACAAGCAUGAAGAAAUUUCACUAGCAAAGGUAUUAUUUAAAUUAGAAAUUGUUGUUUGAAUGAUAUUGUACUAAUGCGAUGCAAGUUUGAUAAAUAUUUUAAAAAUAUUUUGCAGGUUAUAUUAAUUCUUAGCAAGCUUGCUAAAUAUAGAAGUCUUUUACUUAUCUUGGAACAUGAGGUACUAUUUAUCGGUAUUUUUUUUAUUCUUAUUUCUUUCUAACUUAAAUUUUUGUUUGAGAACACAAGUUUGACAAAAGUAGCAGUCUUUUUUGAAUAGAAACGGGAGGUAGUAAGAAUGUAGUGGGAUUUAGAUUUUGUGAUAGAUUUGGGUAGAAAAAGAGCCGUAAGUAGGUAGACGUUCUGAUGGCUAGUUUUAUAGGUUAUAAA